rnacentral:rRNA from 1 species
CCUACGGGUGGCUGCAGUGAGGAAUAUUGGUCAAUGGCCGAGAGUCUGAACCAGCCAAGUAGCGUGAAGGAUUACUGCCCUAUGGGUUGUAAACUACUUUUAUCUGGGAAUAAAAUGUUCCACGUGUGGGAUUUUGUAUGUACCCUGUGAAUAAGGAACGGCUAAAUCCGUUCCCACAGCCGCGGUAAUACGGAGGAAGGGAGCGUUUUCCGGAUUUUUUGGGUUUUAAGGGAGCCUAAGUGGAUUUGUAAGUCAGUUGUGAAAGUUUGCGGGUCAACCAUAAAAGUGCAGUUGAAACUGGCAGUCUUGAGUACAGUAGAGGUGAGCGGAAUGCGUGGUGUAGCGGUGAAAUGCAUAGAUAUCACGAAGAACUCCGAUUGCGAAGGCAGCUCACUGGACUGCAACUGACACUGAGGCUCGAAAGUGUGGGUAUCAAACAGGAUUAGAUACCCCUGUAGUC